AGUGAACGCUGGCGGCAGGCCUAACACAUGCAAGUCGAACGGCAGCACGGUAAGAGUUUGUUUCUAAUGGUGGCGAGUGGCGGACGGGUGAGGAAUACAUCGGCAUCUACUUUUUCGUGGGGGAUAACGUGGGGAAACUUCUGCUACUAGCGCAUACGACCUACGGGUGAAAGCAGAGGAUCUUGUGACCUUGCGCGUUUGAAUGAGCCGAUGUCGGAUUAGCUAGUUGGUGGGGUAAAGGCACACCAAGGCGACGAUCCGUAGCUGGUCUGAGAGGAUGAUCAGCCACACUGGAACUGAGACACGGUCCAGACUCCUACGGGAGGCAGCAGUGGGGAAUAUUGGACAAUGGGCGCAAGCCUGAUCCAGCCAUGCCGCGUGAGUGAAGAAGGCCUUCGGGUUGUAAAGCCCUUUUGUUAGGAAAGAAAAGCAGCAGGUUAAUACCCCGCUGUUCUGACGGUACCCAAAGAAUAAGCACCGGCUAACUUCGUG
rnacentral:rRNA from 1 species